CCCCUUCUCCCGCACAGGAGACGGCGGCGGCUACAUCCCGGCCAGGAGACGGGUGCAGCAACGCGCGCCAAUCAUGAUCUAGUAGUAUGUUGUGACUAGAAGGAUGUUGGCUAUGGCAUUGGCUGAUGAGGCAUCGCAGCAACCUACCCCAACCUCAACCUCGAAAGCUAGGAAGUUGACCCCGAAGAGAAGGAAGAUCUAGUGUUGUGCAUCAUCUUCUAUGUUCUCUAUGCUUUCGGUUGUAAUAUGUCAGACUUGGCAGCCCCUACUAAUUUGUGCAACAUCAUAGCCUUAUAUUAGAUGAUGUAUGAAAAUGUGAAAUAUCAGUUUUAUGCUAUAUUGUGUUCAAUUUGUGUGAUGG
rnacentral:rRNA from 1 species